GAAACGACUUUCGGCAAUGGAUAUCUCGGUUCUUGCAUCGAUGAAGAGCGCAGCGAAAUGCGAUACGUGGUGCGAAUUGCAGAAUCCCGCGAAC
rnacentral:rRNA from 1 species